GGGAUUGCCUUAGUAACGGCGAGUGAAGCGGCAACAGCUCAAAUUUGAAAUCUGGCCCUCGGGUCCGAAUUGUAAUUUGUAGAGGAUGCUUUUGGUGCGGUGCCUUCUGAGUUCCUUGGAACAGGACGCCUUAGAGGGUGAGAGCCCCGUACAGUUGGACACCAAGCCUUUGUAAAGCUCCUUCGACGAGUCGAGUAGUUUGGGAAUGCUGCUCUAAAUGGGAGGUAAAUUUCUUCUAAAGCUAAAUAUUGGCCAGAGACCGAUAGCGCACAAGUAGAGUGAUCGAAAGAUGAAAAGUACUUUGAAAAGAGGGUUAAAUAGCACGUGAAAUUGUUGAAAGGGAAGCGUUUAUGACCAGACCUUCGUCGGGCGGAUCAUCCGGUGUUCUUCACCGGUGCACUUCGCCCGGCUUAGGCCAGCAUCGGUUUUCGUAGGGGGAUAAAGGCCUAGGGAAUGUGGCUCCCUCCGGGGAGUGUUAUAGCCCUGGGCGUAAUACCUUUAUGGGGACCGAGGUUCGCGCUCCGGCAAGGAUGCUGGCGUAAUGGUCAUCAACGACCCGUCUUGAAACACGGACCAAGGAGUCGAACAUUUAUGCGAGUGUUUGGGUGUUAAACCCUUGCGCGUAAUGAAAGUGAACGUAGGUGAGAGCCCGUACGGGUGCAUCAUCGACCGAUCUUGAUGUUUUCGGAUGGAUUUGAGUAAGAGCAUAACUGUUCGGACCCGAAAGAUGGUGAACUAUGCGUGGAUAGGGUGAAGCCAGAGGAAACUCUGGUGGAGGCUCGCAGCGGUUCUGACGUGCAAAUCGAUCGUCAAAUCUGCGCAUGGGGGCGAAAGACUUAUCGAACCAUCUAGUAGCUGGUUACCGCCGAAGUUUCCCUCA
rnacentral:rRNA from 1 species